GUGGGGAAUUUUGCGCAAUGGGCGAAAGCCUGACGCAGCGACGCCGCGUGUGCGAUGAAGGCCUUUGGGUCGUAAAGCACUGUCGACCGGGACGAAAGCCCGCGGGCUAACACCUCGCGGGGUUGACGGUACUGGUAAAGGAAGCACCGGCCAACUCUGUGCCAGCAGCCGCGGUAAUACAGAGGGUGCAAACGUUGCUCGGAAUGAUUGGGCGUAAAGCGCGUGCAGGCGGUUGAUUAUGCCGGUUGUGAAAGCCCGUGGCUCAACCACGGAAGUGCAGUCGGAACUGAUCGACUAGAGUGCCGAAGAGGGUGGCGGAAUGCCCAGUGUAGAGGUGAAAUUCGUAGAUAUUGGGUAGAACACCGGUGGCGAAGGCGGCCACCUGGGAGGUCACUGACGCUGAGACGCGAAAGCGUGGGGAGCAAACAGGAUUAGAAACCCCAGUAGUCC
rnacentral:rRNA from 1 species